rnacentral:rRNA from 1 species
UUAUUUGAGAGUUUGAUCCUGGCUCAGGAUGAACGCUGGCGGCGUGCCUAACACAUGCAAGUUGAGCGAUUUACUUCGGUAAAGAGCGGCGGACGGGUGAGUAACGCGUGGGUAACCUACCCUGUACACACGGAUAACAUACCGAAAGGUAUGCUAAUACGGGAUAACAUAUUUGAGAGGCAUCUCUUGAAUAUCAAAGGUGAGCCAGUACAGGAUGGACCCGCGUCUGAUUAGCUAGUUGGUAAGGUAACGGCUUACCAAGGCGACGAUCAGUAGCCGACCUG